rnacentral:rRNA from 1 species
AUUGAACGCUGGCGGCAGGCCUAACACAUGCAAGUCGAGCGAGCGGCGGACGGGUGAGUAAUGUAUGGGGACUGCCCGAUAGAGGGGGAUAACUACUGGAAACGGUGGCUAAUACCGCAUACUAUCGGAUAACCCAUAUGGGAUUCGCUAGUAGGUGGGGUAAAGGCUCACCUAGGCGACGAUCUCUAGCUGGUCGGAGAGGAUGAUAAGGCACACUGGGCCUGAGACACGGCCCGGAUCCCCAGGGAGCCAACAGGGGGGAGUAGUGCACAAUGGGCGCAAGCCUGAUGCAGCCAUGCCGAGUGUAUGAAGGAGGCCUUAGGGUUGUAAAGUACUGUCAGCGGGGAGGCGUUACCAACAGAAUAAGCACCGGCUAACUUCGUGCCAGCCGCCGCGGUAAUUC